rnacentral:tRNA from 1 species
UAGAGAGUGGUAAAAUGGGAUUACGGGGGGCUUUGAUUCUCCAGAUGUAGGUUCGAUUCCUAC